CCUACGGGAGGCAGCAGUCGGGAAUAUUGCGCAAUGGAGGAAACUCUGACGCAGUGACGCCGCGUAUAGGAAGAAGGUUUUCGGAUUGUAAACUAUUGUCGUUAGGGCAGAUAAAAGACUGUACCUAAGGAGGAAGCCCCGGCUAACUAUGUGCCAGCAGCCGCGGUAAUACAUAGGGGGCAAGCGUUAUCCGGAAAUAUUGGGUGUAAAGGGAGCGUAGGCGGGGAUGCAAGUUGGGUGUCAAAACUACCGGCUCAACCGAUAGUCGCACUCAAAACUGCAACUCUUGAGUGAAGUAGAGGCAGGCGGAAGUCCUAGUGUAGCGGUGAAAUGCGUAGAUAUAAGGAAGAACACCAGUGGCGAAGGCGGAUGACUGGACGGCAACGGACGGUGAGGCGCGAAAGCGUGGGGAGCAAACAGGAUUAGAUACCCCAGUAGUC
rnacentral:rRNA from 1 species